UAGUUCUACCUUCUAGCACAACAAAUGAGUAAUUUUACCCAUUGAGUGCAGUUUCUCCUUUUCUUCAUCUUGUGUUUCUUUUCUUUCAUUCUUUCACAAACAACAAAAUGCAAGCUGACAAGCCAAGCAACAUUUUACAUCCAGUUGCAACUUUUGAACAGACGUGGGAUUUUAUAGUAGAGUGAAAAAAUUUGUUGACAACUUGAUCACAGCUGAGAAUCAGCAAGAAUAUGACUCGGAUGUCGAAAUGGACGUGGAAACAAACCUGCCCGAGGAAGACAGAAAGGCUCCGAUGUCCUUCACACCUGAACACAACUGAGUCUUCAUACAGUGAAACAAAGCUUUUGGUCAAAUAUUCAUAACACACCCAACGGUUCCCAAACUGUGACAGUUGCCCAGGGACAUUGUGGACAGGAGGAGCUGGGGAAUCGAACUGCACCUAACAUCUUCGCCCUGUUGAUGCCUUGACUAAGAGUGUAUUCACACCUGCGUUUGAACUCCUGGUUCGGUUUGUUUGGGCAUAUGUGAACACAGCAGUCACUAAUCUAAUGUAGGGCAAAACAAGCGGGCCAAGAUUGCCUAGAGAGGGCGGUCUCUGCUCUUACUCUGGAGCAGUUUAUUUGCAGUCAGAUCGCAAUCUACCGUUCCAUCUGAAACAACUUCACACAUUGCCCGAUGAGGCGCUUUUUCACAUUGGUACAACUAGAUCU